AUUGAACGCUGGCGGCAGGCCUAACACAUGCAAGUCGAACGAGUGGCGGACGGGUGAGUAAUGUCUGGGAAACUGCCCGAUGGAGGGGGAUAACUACUGGAAACGGUAGCUAAUACCGCAUACCAUCGGAUGUGCCCAGCUGGGAGUAGCUAGUAGGUGGGGUAACGGCACACCUAGGCGACGAUCCCUAGCUGGUCUGAGAGGAUGACUCGCCAUGCUGGAACUGAGACACGGUUCAGACUCCUGCGGGCGACAGCAGGGGGGAAUAUGGCAUAAUGGGCGCAAGCCUGAUGCAGCCAUGGCGCGUGUAUGAAGAAGGCCGUCGGGUUGUAAAGUACUUUCAGCGAGGAGGCGUUACUCGCAGAAGAAGCACCGGCUAACUACGUGCCAGCAGCCGCUGUAAC
rnacentral:rRNA from 1 species